UGGCUCAGAACGAACGCUGGCGGCGUACUUAACACAUGCAAGUCGGACGAGAAAGGAGACUUCGGUCUCUGAGUAAAGUGGCGCACGGGUGCGUAACACGUAAGUAAUCUACCCCAAACUCUGGGAUAACUCUCCGAAAGGAGAGCUAAGACUGGAUAGGGUCCUUGAGGUAUAGGCUGCAGGGGGAAAGCGGGCCUCUAUACUAUGCUCGCGGUUUGGGAUGAGCUUGCGGCCCAUUAGCUUGUUGGUAGGGUAAUGGCCUACCAAGGCGACGAUGGGUAGCUGGUCUGAGAGGAUGAUCAGCCACACUGGCACUGAGACACGGGCCAGACUCCUACGGGAGGCAGCAGUGGGGAAUUUUGCGCAAUGGGCGAAAGCCUGACGCAGUAACGCCGCGUGGAGGAUGAAGGCCUUCGGGUUGUAAACCUCUUUCAGGAGGGACGAAGGUUCAGGCGCGAACAGCGUCCUGGACUGACGGUACCUCCAGAAGAAGCCCCGGCUAACUACGUGCCAGCAGCCGCGGUAA
rnacentral:rRNA from 1 species